rnacentral:sRNA from 1 species
GCAUGGGUAGAGGUAAGGCAGGGGGUUGUCUUGCAGGGGAAAUGGCUCUGGCAUCGAGUCUCUGGUUGCAGCAGAGUGCAAGGCGGAUUCUGCUCUGGGUGCUGAAAAUGCCUCGUGCUGUUGCUGGUCUCUAGGUUUUUCAAAGGCCUUGAUACAUCAUCAAAGGCACAGCCUUUCCAAGAUGGUUUAUCAGACAUCACUUUGUUCUUGUGUUGUAAACAUUCAAGUGCCCAACAGACAUUUUGCUGCUGCUACAAAGUCUGCAAAGAAAACAAAAAAAGGUGCUAAAGAAAAAACACUAGAUGAGAAAAAAGAUGAAAUAGAAAAAAUAAAAGCAUAUCCCUAUAUGGAAGGCGAACCUGAGGAUGAUGUCUAUUUAAAACGCUUAUACCCAAGACAGAUAUAUGAGGUGGAGAAAGCUGUUCACUUACUUAAGAAAUUUCAAAUUCUUGACUUUACUAGUCCAAAGCAAAGUGUUUAUCUUGAUUUGACACUGGAUAUGGCACUGGGAAAGAAGAAAAACGUGGAGCCAUUUACCAGUGUUCUUAGUUUGCCAUACCCAUUUGCUUCUGAAAUCAAU